AUAUCAAUAAGCGGAGGAAAAGAAACCAACAGGGAUUGCCCCAGUAACGGCGAGUGAAGCGGCAACAGCUCAAAUUUGAAAUCUGGUCCCUAGGGCCCGAGUUGUAAUUUGUAGAGGAUGCUUUUGGUGAGGUGCCGCCCGAGUUCCCUGGAACGGGACGCCACAGAGGGUGAGAGCCCCGUCUGGCUGGCCGCCGAGCCUCUGUAAAGCUCCUUCGACGAGUCGAGUAGUUUGGGAAUGCUGCUCAAAAUGGGAGGUAUAUGUCUUCUAAAGCUAAAUAUUGGCCAGAGACCGAUAGCGCACAAGUAGAGUGAUCGAAAGAUGAAAAGCACCUUGAAAAGAGGGUUAAAUAGUACGUGAAAUUGUUGAAAGGGAAGCGCUUGUGACCAGACUUGGGCGCGGCGGAUCAUCCGGGGUUCUCUCCGGUGCACUUCGCCGCGUCUAGGCCAGCAUCAGUUCGUCGCGGGGGAAAAAGGCUUCGGGAACGUGGCUCCUCCGGGAGUGUUAUAGCCCGUUGCAUAAUACCCUGCGGUGGACUGAGGACCGCGCAUCUGCAAGGAUGCUGGCGUAAUGGUCACCAGCGACCCGUCUUGAAACACGGACCAAGGAGUCGUCUUCGUAUGCGAGUGUUCGGGUGUCAAACCCCUACGCGUAAUGAAAGUGAACGCAGGUGAGAGCUUCGGCGCAUCAUCGACCGAUCCUGAUGUUCUCGGAUGGAUUUGAGUAAGAGCAUACGGGGCCGGACCCGAAAGAAGGUGAACUAUGCCUGUAUAGGGUGAAGCCAGAGGAAACUCUGGUGGAGGCUCGCAGCGGUUCUGACGUGCAAAUCGAUCGUCAAAUAUGGGCAUGGGGGCGAAAGACUAAUCGAACCUUCUAGUAGCUG
rnacentral:rRNA from 1 species